rnacentral:tRNA from 1 species
CGAGCAGUAGCUCAGUGGUAGCCCCCGCUUCAUAUGCGGGAAGACCUAGGUUCGAUUCCCCGCUGUUUAC